rnacentral:sRNA from 1 species
AAAAUAAAAGCAAAGUGAAACGAGUUCAGGAACAUUUAUUGGUGAGGCUCCAGAACAUGCUCCUUCAUCGUCGGUUCAGCAUUCGAAGUCGAUGCUUUGUUUUUGUCAUCUACCUCAAACUAUAGGCUAGAGUCUACUAAUCUCUAGAAUUCGUAGAUCAGGCAUCCAUUUGAACGUCUUUUGGACACUGGAAUACCUUGGGUCGAAUUCCAAACUUAACUGAGUGAAAUAAGCAUUAGGGCGAACGAAUUAAAAAGGGAUCUACCUAAUCUUAACCACCUGACUAAACAAGAGAUUACCUCUAGUGACCCGCAUAAGGGCAUCGGACACGGCCAAAGGACCGAAUGAGAAAAUGUUGCCCGAAUGCAUGGCUAGUUGACCGUAUGUGCCCAAAAGGUGCCAAACCAUCAAAGGGCAAAGAUGGGCAGGAAUGGAGGCAGGAAUGGGCACGAAUGGGCGAAGAUGGGAAAAGUUGGGCAUGUUGUAGUGAAGUUUGCCCCGUCGCCCGCGGAACCGACAUGAGUGGACACCUCACUCGCAGUGCCUUACAGCUCAAGUCACCAACCUUAGAGCCAAAGUUGGCUGAGUCUUGUAGCCGAAGCUGAUAGGGCGGUGGAGUGACACCCGUCGCCAACUGUCGCCACGCCAUUGUUCGAGACACCUGUCGCAUGGGGGCGCAGCAGUUGUCCGGAAAUGUGGCAGGGGACAAUGCUGCAUAGCUGACCUUGGGUGGACUAUAAAUGAUGCUCUUCUCCACCAAUUUUCUUUUUUGAAGGCAAGAGAGAGAGUGUAAGGCUGCCCAACAAAUAACUCGUCCACAACCGAGAAAACUUGCCCAAAUUCAAUAAAUCUUGCCCGUGGUCGAGGAAACUCUGUCCAAUACUGGAGAAUCAUCGCUUGUGGGCGAGACAACUUGACCAUGAGUAAGGGAUCGUCGACCGUGAUCGAGGAAUUUUGCCCAAGACACAGAAACCUUCCGAAUUACCGAAUCUAUGUGUUGUGGUCGAAUUGUGUGUUUGUUUGCAUUUUUUCUAGAGCUAGUCUUUAGAUCAUUGAUAAUAGGUUUUUAGUCAAUUAUCCUAAAACACCAAUCAUAUCGUUGUAGUAUUUUAGGUUGUCAAUCCAAAUGGGUGUGAUGCUAACAAUCAAGAUGUGAUCAGAAGUCACUAAGUCAAGCCAAGCAAUAACAGGUUUUGGUGUGUUCUAGCAGUCCUAAGUGAACAUGCAGAAAACAAAAAAUCAAACAGAAACAGUAAAACACUCGACCAACACAGCUCUAUGCAGAGCACUGGGUGAGCUCGAAUGACAGGUCGAGUAACAGACAGAAAAUGAAACACAGAUACUCGACUGCACAGUCUGUUGCCAUACAACUAGGUGGUCGAGUAUGAGGUCGAGUAACAAGAAAGAAGUGCAGAAAUUAAGCGACAGAUAACAAGAUGCAGUAAACAACAGUAGAGUAAACAAAGAAUUCAAUCAGAUAAAGAAUUCCCGAGGAUGGGGUAAUUGAGUAGUUUCAUUUUCUCAGUUUACAAGUGAUUGACAUGCUCAAUAAAUUAACCCUAGACAACAAGUUCAUUAACCAAAUCUAAGUGCCACCGCAACAGAGACCCUCAAGUUAACCUAGUCCCAGACUCAAUCACCAUUGACGAGAGCUAACCUAACAAGCAUUACGAAUCAACAAGUUAAAGCCAAAACGCUCCCUGCAACCAAUACCUUGGUACAGGGUCACGAAUCUCUGGAAUUAGUGGUUCAGACAUUUCAUCGAACACCAUUUGGGCGCGGAAAUAUCUGGGCUCAAAUUCCAGUUGAUCAAAAAGCAAUAGGCAUUAAGAACAACUAAUCCAGAAGGGAUCUAUCAAUCAAUACUCAAUCACCUAGCAUACUGAGAAUCCUACACUACUCUAACCCAUCCUCAGAAACCUAUUCACUACUCAGACAUCAUAACAGAAAGCAUAAACGUUGAACAGGUUGAAGACAUGAUAACAACAGUGUAACAGCAGGAUGAUAACAGAAUGAACAAUAGUAAACGAAAUCAAGAAUAAAAGCUGAAUACUGAAUACUGAAUAGAUAAAGAGAAAUCCGGAUUACAAAAGUCUAGAACACAAGGUCUGCGGAAAUAAAACUAGAUAAAACAACUUCUUGUCUGCGAAAAUGUGAAGUACAUGCUACUUAUAGCCAAAUAUUUUGAAACCCUAAUACUCAAAACGACAAAGUAUUGGAACAGAUUAAGAUUUGUACUCGACCUAUAUGGUCAAGUGGGAGGUCAAGUGAAUAGCUGGAGUCUUCUUUUCUUCCUUGUGCUCGAGUGUCUGGUUGAGUGCGGAAUGAAGAAGGCUCUGAAGCUUGUCAUCGAGUAUGCAGUCGAGUGGUGUGAUGGUGAUACUCGAGUUCAAGGUAGAGUGACGAGGUCGAGUAGAUAUCUGACAAUGGGAUGAAGUCACUCGACCUGGGGGUCGAGUGAUGUGAUCGAGUGAUGGUCAGAAGAUGGAGAUGAAGUCACUCGACCUGGGGGUCGAGUGAGGUGAUCGAGUGGUGGUCAAGAGAUGGAGAUGAAGAAACUCGACUUGGGGGUCGAGUGAUGUGAUAGAGUGGUGGUGUCUUCUACUCGACCUGGGGGUCGAGUGGUCUCUUGAUAUCUUGAAGCUCCUACUCGACCUCUGGGUCGAGUGGUUUGUCAUGAUCAGGUCCGCUUCUUCCAGUUAGCUCGUCGACAGCUCCAAAUCACCUGAAAACAACACAAAUAUGCAACAUGCAUGCAAAACUAUCCUAAACAUGCAAAGUGAUGACAGAUGAUGUGAAAUGGUAUAAAACAGUGAUGAUAUGAUGCUAAAAUGAUGACAAAUGGAUGCUCAAAACAUGCAAAAUACACACUUAUCAACUCCCCCAAACUUAGUCGUUGCUUGCCCUCAAGCAAACAAUCAAGAACAAGCUGGAGGUGAGGUUUGAAACCGGGGACUUAGAGCCAAAACACCAGAUAGACCAGAUGAAAUAAAUGUCCAAGUUAAAAGUUCUAAGCUGCAAGAUCGAAUUCUACUUAAAAACGUUAGCCAUGCCUCAUCAAUCAAUCAAUCCGACUCAUAUGCUCGACCUACACAAGUUUUCAAAUCUACCACUCCCUUUAACAUUCAUUAGUUAUGGAACGUGAAUCAAGCAAUGCAUCAUCAAAAAAACUCAUUUGGCUAAGGUAAAAGGUCAAGAGACAAAGAUGGUCCCUUAUAGAAUAGGCUUCAGUAACAGGGGAUCUCUCAAAAAAUAAUUAAGCUUGAGUAGAAUGCUAAAGGUAAGUCCCAAGCUAUGCAUACAGAGAUAAGAUCCCAUCUACCCAGAGUAUGUUAAAUGAAGCUCUAAUGGUAAUCCCAUCUCCAAUCCCAAUAUAAGAACUUAACUCUACCCUUUGUAUUCAUGAAUCUUUUAAGCCCUUUUUCUAAUCAUUCUUUUCUUUUCUCUUAACUCUAGGAGAAGCUUUCUCAACACUUUGUUACAUCUAGCGGAUUUGGAUUUCUUUAACAACUAAGGUUCCUGUUUUUAACAUUUUAAAACCAAGGGCUUUUGCCCAUCUCCAAUAGCUAACAAGAACUCUUUCUUUUCUUUACAAAUCCCAAAACCUUUACUAGACUUUUUCUGCUUCUUUAGCUUACUUCACCUAGAGUCCUUUACCUUUUCUCAUCAAUGAAUCAACCCCUUUUUUUCUUUUAAACACAUCCCAGCCCAAAGUAUAAGCGCCCACCUAGUCCUAUCUAGUCCGAAAAAUGCGAACUAGAACUACAUGAGACACUAUCUCUGUCGUUACGAACCUAACACUUUCUACCAAGCUUAAUCGGAAUAAGACCUCACAAACACUCACAAGUGAUAUAGGGCUUGAAAGAAAGUCUAGGUUUGGGUUAACUGCUCUAAUAAGGAGAGUCAGCUACUUGGAUUAACAAGAGUGAUCAAAAUGAAUAAGAAAAUCCAAGUAUUUUAGGGUAUCCAUGAGUUCAAAUUUGAUGCAGACAUGAUAAUUAAAGAUUAGAUUCAGGUUCAAAUUGAUAGGGAAUGGUAUCAGAUCAUGACAGUGUGGUCGAGUAGAGCAAUCUAGGCGUGGUUCAGUUUUAUUUCAAAUUCAUUGACUACGCAACAAACAACUAGCAACGAGGGCACUGAGUUUAUCCGGUGAAUCAAAAUGCUUACAAGGCUAUCUCAUCAUCAUCCCCUAUGCAUAUGCAACAAGUCUAAAUGAAACACUCUAGACUCGAUCCUAAAUGUGAUGCAACUACAUGAACACUCUUUUUUUUGUGAAAUCAUUUUCUGAAAUUUUUCAAUUUUUUUUUGUUUUUCUAUGCCUUAGAUGAAUGCAGACUCAAAAAUAUACACAAUGCAACACACACUUCCUGAGCCCUCCCCUAAACUUAAAUCACACAGUCCACUGUGUGAAUAAACUUGGAAGAGAGUACUCAGGACAAAUCAAAUCACAGAAACAAAAAAUGAAGAAACAAAUCACAACAGAUGGUAUAAUACAAUGGUGAAGUGAGGCGCGUACCUCAAUCGAAGAAUGAACGUAGUUGCUCGUCAAUGGCUGCCUGUGAUUGCUCCAAGGCCAUAGACGAACCACCUUGUUCUGUAUCAGCUCCAGCAGGUGGGUACUCGACCUCAUCAGCUCUCUGGCGGCCAGCACCGCCAUGAGUAUACUCGACCUCCAUUGUUCUGCUGCGGCCAGCACCACAGUCGAGUGAUCUCCUGCCGUAGAUAAGCUAAAACAUGGUCGAGUAUCCUUCAUUGCUCUGUGGUCGAGUAUAGUGUUGUACUCUCAGAGCCAGAAUCCACUUCACUCAGCUCUUUAUACUUAUCUCCUGAAAACACUAACCAAAUGCAUCAAAAACAACAAGGAAAAAUAAAGAUAUGUACAAAGAUAGACAAGGGUUUUGCUCCCAAGUGAGCUUGUUUUAAGUCUCUAAGCUUGACUUCUCAUACUCAUUAGGCUUAGGGUGGGUUGUAGAGAGGAAAUGAGGUCUCCUCUCCUUCUUUGGUAGCGUGAUCAUCAUACUCAUUAGGGUUUCUUGACAUGUCUGCAAUUGGGUACUCAGUGGUCAUGUCCUCACAGUAAGCUUCUUUUUUAUCAAGAUAGUCUUCUCCUCUAGACCAUUCCGACGUGAAUUCACAUCCUUCUUUGCUAACAAGUAUAGUGGCGCCAUCGUCAGGGGCGUCCUUGAUGUUGAGUAGUACUUGGUUUGCUUUUCCAUUGAGCUCCUUGAUUUGAUCCUUUAGCUCUUUCACAAUAUGUGUUAGCUCUUGUACGGCUUUUUCUUGCCAUUUAGAUCUCUCCUUGAGUUCUAACCAAUCAUUUGACAUCUAAGUGCUUGCCUUGAGUUGUUUGGUCGAGCAUGAUCUCUCAGGACAAGUUGGAGGCUUCUUCGAGUUGUUAGUGGAAUUAGUUGGUCGAGCAUGUGUUGAACUUACUUCAUUAGCUUUCAUAACCUUUGUGCCAGACCCCAUCAAGCCCUUGUAAGCCUCUGAGCCAACUGCUGCCUUGUGUGAGUCUAAUGACUUCUUAGAACUCAAAGUUUCACUAGGGAGAUACCCACCUUUACCACUCUUGGUCAAAACAGUUUUUGAAUUAUUUGCUUCUUCAAGUUCCACUAGCAGUUCACCAGCUAACUGUUCCACUUCCUUAACUAAGAAGGUUUGUUCUUCUAUUGUCGGCUUCUUCAUAGCAUCAUUGAUAUCAAACUUCAUUUCCAAAUUCUUCCCCAGAUUAAGAUCAAUCUUUCCUUGCUUAACAUCUAUGAUUGCUCCAGCUGUAGCCAAAAAAGGCCUUCCUAAUAUCAAGGGAUCUUUUGGUUCUUCAUCCAUGUUUAGCACUACGAAGUCUGUACGCACCUCCACAUUUCCAAUCUUGUUAGGCAAAUCUUCUAAUAACACAUGAGGU